GGGGACGUUACGGAUUCGACAGGGGUGGUCUGGGCUUGAGCUGCGCGUCGGAGGGAUCGUCUCCGUCAGAAACGACAGUUAAUAAUAACUGGCAAAACAAACAACAACUUAGCAUUCGCAGCGUAAGCUGACUGAAUCUACCUUUCGUUUCCAUCGCUCAUGUGGAGGCGUCAGGUUCACUUAUUAGUGAGCUACGCUGACAUCUGCCUCCUGAGGCUGUCAGAAGAGAUUCCCAGGAUAGCACACAAGACGCCUUGAUUGACGGCAUAAUGCUGUGCGAACCGAAAGUAGUCAAUCUACACGCGUAGACGCUGAAGUAGCAGAGCCUUUGGACGUGGGUUCGACUCCCACCGUCUCCAUAU
rfam:Sporosarcina newyorkensis 2681 genomic scaffold SCAFFOLD2, whole genome shotgun sequence.